ACUCUAAAAUAUGUCUACAUACAUUCGUAUGUGGUAGUCAUUUGAAAUGUCUAGAAAGACAAAUAUUUAGGAACGGAGGGAGUAAUAUUUUGACACUGAAAACUACUAUAUAUUUUGACACUGAAAAACUACUAUAUAUUUUGACUGAAAUUUUGCAAUUCAAAAUUCAUUUGAAAUCUUCUAGGAGCAAAAUUUGGAUUACUUACAUAUGCGUUGAAGGUUGAAGGUUGCCUGCAUGAAUUUGGAUUACUUACAUAUAUAUGCAUUCUUGAUUUUCGAAUUUGCAUCACUUUGCAAGAUUGUGAACUCCAAGUGGCAUGGAUACAAAUGUUUAUUAUAUUCUAUAAUCUUACUUGUUUCCUUAUACCCAUAAGCAAAUAUUAAUUAAAUAUUUCUCUUCUCUGCUCUUAACCUUGCUCUCUAGACCUACUAGGCUCUAAUUAUCAUCCUUUAGUGUUAUGUCUGGUCUUAAUUGUCAUUGUGAAACAACUUUACCUCGAGCCCCAAGUCACCUGCUACACUUUCGGUCCUUCAAAUUUUGUCUCCUUUAGGCACUGCAUCAAACAUGUGUUCUUAAGCGCGUAUUGUCAAAAGGAAAAUCAUGAAAGUAGGGGAGACACGUGCCAUUGCAUGUUCUGUCGUGGAUCUAUGCAUGCACGAGUGGAUAGAGACAGGCAGACACGUAGAACAUUACUCGUGGAACCGACUAAGACCUGUCAGGCUGCAUGCUGAAAGUUUGAAACGUGUUGCCCGGUCCUGAUGAGAACCGUGGCAUGGCAUGGCAUGGCGUGGCGUCGGCUCCAUCCCGGACUAUUAGUAGCGGUGAUUAAAGCCUCGCCGCUCCGUCCUGCGAGUGCUGGUAUUAGUACUAGUAGUACCUAGUUGUACAUCAGUACAUGCGACUGUGCUUGUCUGUUCAAGCAUAUGAGAGGCCUGAAACCAACAAUUGAUUCGCCGUAGGGUCAUCUGGCGAGGGACAUACACUGUACAAGUGAAUCGCGGCGCGCCGUGCGGCCUGUACAGUUUAUGUCCCCGGCAGACGAUCUACGACGGCUCUGCGACUUCGUGCGAAUCGGUCGGCACUCGAUCUGUGUAAUUGAGAACAAAUCCAGACCAGGCCGAGAUCGAGCACAGCAACACACCCACGCCGCCUCCGCACCGGGCCGCACUCCGGACCGCACUCGCCGUCGGAGCUCCCCACCUCGACCCAGACGUGGUCGUCCCUGACGCCGGUUUCCCUCCGGUGAGCACCGGCUCCUCCCCUAUUUGUUCGAUGUGCUGUGCCUCGCUGGCUGCGGCUAUGUGAGGUUGGGUGCUUCAGCUAGUCUAUUAGCAGCACAUCAUUCGACUGUUGAGGGCAAAAGUGUAGUGAUUCAAUUCUGGACAUGGAUACAUCGAUUGAGCCAGACUCCUCGCGAUUUCUGUUUUUCAGGUUUAAGUAACAGAGGACUUCAGUCGCGGUCGUAGCUGCAUAAAGCUAUGCUCCUGAAUCCUUGCUAAUGCUAUUGUGUACAAGUGUUACACAAGUGUUAGAGUAACUUAAGAUAGCCGAAGCUUUGUUUGGAGCUU